rnacentral:rRNA from 1 species
AGAAUCAACGCUGGCGGCGUGCCUAACACAUGCAAGUCGAACGCGACUUGGGGCUUCGGUUCCAAGUUGAGUGGCGAACGGGUGAGUAACACGUGGGUGAUCUACCUUCGAGUGGGGGAUAACGUUCCGAAAGGAACGCUAAUACCGCAUGACGUUCUGGGUUUGAAGACCUGGAAACCAAAGCCGGGGACCGCAAGGCCUGGCGCUUGAAGAGGAGCCCGCGUCCGAUUAGCUAGUUGGCGGGGUAAUGGCCCACCAAGGCGACGAU